rnacentral:rRNA from 1 species
CCUACGGGGGGCAGCAGUGAGGAAUAUUGGUCAAUGGACGGAAGUCUGAACCAGCCAUGCCGCGUGAGUGAAGAAGUAUUUCGGUAUGUAAAGCUCUAUCAGCAGGGAAGAAAAUGACGGUACCUGACUAAGAAGCCCCGGCUAACUACGUGCCAGCAGCCGCGGUAAUACGUAGGGGGCAAGCGUUAUCCGGAUUUACUGGGUGUAAAGGGAGCGUAGACGGCGGAACAAGUCAGAAGUGAAAACCCGGGGCUCAACCCUGGGAGUGCUUUUGAAACUGUUUGGCUGGAGUGCAGGAGAGGUAAGCGGAAUUCCUAGUGUAGCGGUGAAAUGCGUAGAUAUUAGGAGGAACACCAGUGGCGAAGGCGGCUUACUGGACUGUAACUGACGUUGAGGCUCGAAAGCGUGGGGAGCAAACAGGAUUAGAUACCCGAGUAGUC